GCUGGUUCUUGGGUGAUACACUCCAGAAUUGGGCUCCCUCCUCUCUGGUUCUGGGUGCAUCACCGGAGAACCACA
rfam:Myotis lucifugus cont2.13877, whole genome shotgun sequence.